AGCAGCCGCGGUAAUUCCAGCUCCAAUAGCGUAUAUUAAAGUUGUUGCAGUUAAAAAGCUCGUAGUUGAACUUCAGGCCUGGCUGGACGGUCCGCCCUCUGGGUGAGCACUGUCUGUGGUCGGGUCCUACCUUCUGGCGAAGCGGCAUGGCCUUAACCGGCCGUGGCGGGGAACCAGGACCUUUUACUGUGAAAAAAUUAGAGUGUUCAAAGCAGGCACGCGCUUGAAUACAUUAGCAUGGAAUAAUGGAAUAGGACAAUGGUUCUAUUUGUUGGUUUCUAGGACCGUUGUAAUGAUUAAUAGGGAUAGUUGGGGGCAUUAGUAUUCAAUUGUCAGAGGUGAAAUUCUUGGAUUUAUUGAAGACUAACUACUGCGAAAGCAUUUGCCAAGGAUGUUUUCAUUAAUCAAGAACGAAAGUUAGGGGAUCGAAGACGAUCAGAUACCGUCGUAGUCUUAACUAUAAACGAUGCCGACCAGGGAUCCGGGGUCGUCCUAUGGAUGACUCCCCGGGCACCUUAGG
rnacentral:rRNA from 1 species